rnacentral:sRNA from 1 species
ACUCCAUGGUAACGACGCUCGGCCCGAAGAUGGCGGCCGAAUGGGGCGGAGGAGUGGGUUACUCGGGCUCAGGCCCGGGCCGGAGCCGGUGGCGCUGGAGCGGGUCUGUGUGGGUCCGAAGCGUUUUACUCCUGUUGGGCGGGCUCCGGGCCAGCGCCACAUCUACUCCCGUCUCCUUGGGCAGUUCCCCUCCCUGCCGGCACCACGUCCCCUCUGACACUGAGGUCAUAAAUAAAGUUCAUCUUAAGGCAAAUCAUGUGGUCAAGAGAGAUGUUGAUGAGCAUUUAAGAAUCAAGACUGUCUAUGAUAAAAGUGUUGAAGAGUUGCUCCCAGAGAAAAAGAAUCUUGUAAAGAACAAGCUUUUCCCACAAGCGAUUUCUUAUUUAGAGAAGACUUUUCAGGUCCGUCGACCUGCGGGCACUAUCUUACUUAGCAGGUAUGUCACAUGAAACACAGAUCAUUUUCUUCAGCCAUUUAGUACUCUGCCUUUCCCGUUCUAUGAACAUGGCAAGGUACGAAACUUAUACUAGAAUUUUAUUAUGCUUGUUCUUAGGGACUAACUGCAAGGUAUUUAAAAAGAAUAAAAAAGCACCUGCUGGAUACUCAUUCUUUCCCUGACCUUUCACUGUGAGAUGGUCUACUGAAUUUUUUCUGGGUGUAGUUGUCCCCUGUUCUCCAGAUCGCCUUUUUCCCUCUUUCAUGUGGAUACAGUGUUGGCUUUAUGAAGUAUUUGGGUGUUUAAAAACCCAAAUCAAGAGGAUUUCCUAUAGAACCCAAAUUCUUUCUUAGCUACUUUCCUAACUAAAAUAGUAACAUUAUUAAUGAAGUAAUAUAGCAGCUACCAGUUGGUUUCCAUGUUUUUAACUGCUAUAAAACAUUCUCUUUUUUGUAUUUAAACUUUGAUAUACAAAUGGACUGAAGACAAUGCGCAACAAACCAAUACCUCCGGAAGGAAAACGAUCCUCACAGGUACUGCACCGGGGAGUGUGCCGCGCACACAAAGUGCGGCCCCGUUAUUGUUCCCGAGGAACAUCUCCAGCAAUGCCGGGUCUACCGCGGGGGUAAGUGGCCUCAUGGAGCAGUGGGUGUGCCAGACCAAGAAGGCAUCUCAGAUGCAGACUUUGUUCUUUACGUUGGUGCUCUGGCCACUGAGAGAUGCAGCCAUGAAAACAUCAUCUCUUAUGCAGCCUAUUGUCAGCAGGAAGCAAACAUGGACAGGCCAAUAGCAGGAUAUGCUAACCUGUGUCCAAAUAUGAUCUCUACCCAGCCUCAGGAGUUUGUUGGGAUGCUGUCCACAGUGAAACAUGAGGUUAUUCAUGCCCUGGGUUUCUCUGCUGGGCUGUUUGCAUUCUACCAUGAUAAAGAUGGAAAUCCUCUCACUUCAAGAUUUGCAGAUGGCCUCCCACCUUUUAAUUAUAGUCUGGGAUUAUAUCAAUGGAGUGAUAAAGUAGUUCGAAAAGUGGAGAGAUUAUGGGAUGUUCGAGAUAAUAAGAUAGUUCGUCACACUGUGUAUCUCCUGGUAACGCCUCGUGUUGUUGAGGAAGCACGAAAACAUUUUGAUUGUCCAGUUCUAGAGGGAAUGGAACUUGAAAAUCAAGGUGGUAUGGGCACUGAGCUCAACCAUUGGGAAAAAAGGUUAUUAGAGAAUGAAGCGAUGACUGGUUCUCACACUCAGAAUCGAGUACUCUCGCGAAUCACUCUGGCAUUAAUGGAGGACACCGGCUGGUAUAAAGCAAAUUACAGCAUGGCUGAGAAGUUAGACUGGGGCCGAGGAAUGGGCUGUGACUUUGUCAGGAAGAGCUGUAAAUUCUGGAUUGAUCAGCAGAGACAAAAGAGACAGAUGCUGAGCCCUUACUGUGACACGCUCAGAAGUAACCCACUGCAGCUAACUUGCAGACAGGACCAGAGAGCAGUUGCCGUGUGUAAUUUGCAGAAGUUCCCUAAGCCUUUACCACAGGAAUACCAGUACUUUGAUGAACUCAGUGGAAUACCUGCAGAAGAUCUGCCUUAUUACGGUGGUUCCGUGGAAAUUGCUGACUACUGCCCUUUCAGUCAGGAAUUCAGUUGGCAUUUAAGUGGUGAAUAUCAGCGCAGCUCAGAUUGUAGAAUAUUGGAAAAUCAACCAGAAAUUUUUAAGAACUAUGGCGCUGAAAAGUAUGGACCUCAUUCCGUUUGUCUAAUUCAGAAAUCAGCAUUUGUUAUGGAGAAGUGUGAGAGGAAGCUGAGUUACCCAGACUGGGGAAGCGGAUGCUAUCAGGUUUCUUGUUCUCCUCAAGGUCUGAAAGUUUGGGUCCAAGAUACUUCAUAUUUGUGUAGUCGGGCUGGGCAGGUCCUCCCCGUCAGUAUCCAGAUGAAUGGCUGGAUUCACGAUGGAAACCUGCUCUGCCCAUCGUGUUGGGACUUCUGUGAGCUCUGUCCUCCAGAAACAGACCCUCCAGCCACUAACCUGACCCGAGCUCUGCCACUGGAUCUUUGUUCCUGUUCCUCGAGCCUGGUGGUCACCCUCUGGCUUCUGCUAGGCAAUCUGUUUCCUCUGCUGGCUGGAUUUCUUCUGUGUGUAUGGCACUAGGAAUGGAAAAGUGGAUCUUCAAGAUAUUCUUUUAUGUUAUGUUCUUGUGAACAAAGCACAAAGUUUGAGCGAGUGCCAACCUAUGCAGGUGGUAGAAGUGGCAUUCCUGGCUUUGGCUUGGAAGAAUUGACGACCAUCAGAUCUUGAAGCAGAACUUCACAGCAGCCUGUCCUCAUCAGCAACCCAACCACCUUCAUCAGCAACCCAACCACCUUCAUCAGCAACCCAACCACCUCGUCAGCAACCCAACCACCUCAUCAGCAACCCAACCACCUCGUCAGCAACCCAACCACUUUCAUCAGCAACCCAACCACCUCAUCAGCAACCCAACCACCUUCAUCAGCAACCCAGCCACCUCAUCAGCAAGCCAGCCACCUUCAUCUGCAACCCAACCACCUUCAUCGGCAACCCACCUUCAUCCACAACCCAACCACCUUCAUCAGCAACCCAGCCACCUUCAUCAGCAACCCAACCACCUCAUUUGGAGAAGGAGAAGGAAUUGCAAGCCACCAAGUCUUCAUUUUUCAGGAUUUGUAAUCUUCCCAAAGUUUUCCUUUGAAAAUAGUAUAAUGGGUGGAAUUCUCAGAGUGAUUACAUACCUCAACAUUUUUAUUAACAUACAACAAUGGGAAAGUUCAUCAUCCAUAUACUGCAGUAACUUAAACAACAGCCAAUUAUUGUAAGAUUAGAAUUGGAGAUCUUGUCCUCAAAAGUAUAAAUUGUCCUUUGAUUUAUAGAAAAUAAUUGAAUUGGGAUUUCUACAUAUUAUUAUUAUACCUAUUUUAAAUUUAAUGGCAGCCAGGUAUGGUGGUGCCUGCCUGUAGUUCCAGCUACUUGGGAGGCUGAGGCAGGAGGAUCGCUUGAGCCCAGGAGUUCAAGGCUGCAGUGAGCUAUGAUUGCACCACUGUAUUCUAGCCUGCACAAUAGAGUGAGACCCUGUAUCUUUAACAACAAAAAAAAAUAAUGGCUGGUAUAUAGUAAACUUAAUUCACUGUUCCCAUUGUUUGUUCUAAAGAAUUUUUUUAAAUAAUGUUUCAUUAAAUCUUAUGAUUUAACCGUGCUUGCCCUUUUUGCCAGCUAUGUGGCAGUUUACGGCAGAACUGCUGUCAGUGUGCUGGUAGCCCUCUAUUCAUCCCUCUUCAGAGCCCAGCUUCCAGAACUGCUGUCAGUGUGCUAGUAGCCCCCUGUAUUCAUCCCUCUUCAGAGCUCAGCUUCUGGUUGUAUUCUCCAUGAGUUUAAUAAUGACAUGAAAAAAUGUGGAAGCCGAGAGAGUAAAAUACUCUGCCCUGUAAAAACAUGGAAGACAUGCAAACAGAAAAAAACAUAAUUGUAUUGUUUUAGAUAAUACUUAAGACAGCUGUGAUCCAACAAAAACAGAGCUAUUCCUUUGUGACCGAUGAAGAUAAAAAGAAAUUCUGGUAAAGACAGGUAUGCAGUUUUUUAAAAUGGGUUAAGAAAUUGUUGCAGAAGAAUUUCUAACAUCUGAAAAUUGUUUUAUGUAUAAGAAGGAUGGUCUGAAUUGUGUACUAAUAGCAAGGUAUAAGUUUGGUGUAGAGCCUAUCCAGUAGCGUCCACUGUACCACUUUUAAGUAAGACUCAGUCCACAGAAGCUGGAAGAUUGCCUUUGCUUUAAAUAUCCUUUACCUUCUGCAUUUGACACUCCUCCUAUUACUACAUAGAUUCUGGUCCCCAGAAGCAAUUUUACACUGGUACUAGAGCUUACCAGCCCCAUUUAGGAAUUCCUAUUUGAAAUUUCUUAAUGUCUAGAUGAGGUUUAACAAGAAUAUGAAAAGAAAAAAGAAAAAAUAUAUUCAUGAAUGAUAGGUGAUGCUCAUUCUUUCUCUCAAGCUAACGAAGUCCUAUGGCAUUGUAACCACAACCCUCGGACAGACUCCCCCUAUUCCUCCUUUCCUCGUCCUUCCCUGCUUUUCAUCCAUUCAGCAUAUAGCUAUUCAGUACUCCAUUGAAGAAAUUGUGCUAAGUGAGCAAAGCAGCAUAAUUACUAAUAAUUAAUUCUGAUUAUUUGGCACUAGAGCCAACAGCAACCCCAGCAUAGAGGAAAGUCGCUUUUUUUCAAAUGCAUAAAUUUAAAGUAUGUAUUUGCAUGCAGUUUUAAAUGGGAGGUAUUUGUCAUUGUGAAAAGCUGGGAAUCUCAAACAUAGUCAACUUAACUAAAAAGAAGCUAAUACAGGUUGAGCAUUCCUAAUCCAAAAAUCCGGAAUCCAAAUUGCUCCAAAAUCUGAAACUUUCUGAAUGCUGACCUGAUACCACAAGUGGAAAAUUCCACAUAUAAGUACUUAACACAAACUUUGUUUCAUGCACAAACUACUAAAAAUAUUGUAUAAAAUUACCUUCAGGCAGUGUGUGUAGUUAAAUAUGAAACAUGAAUUUCAUGUUUAGACUUGGGUCCAUGCCCAAGAUACCUCAUUAGGUAUCUGUAAAUAUCCAAAAUCCAAAAAAAAAGUCUGAAAUCUGAAACACUUCUGGUCCCAAGCAUUUCAGUAAGUGAUGCUCAACCUGCGUAAUGGUCUGCGGGCCAGUGCUCAUUUUCUGCCUAUGUUGUACAUACUUUAAAUUGUGCAAAGUCAAAGAAAAGCAGAGUCUAUUUUUAAAGAAACUUACAAUAAUCUAAACAUAUACUUCUUAUGAUUAUGAAUCAUCCUGCAAAGCUGUAUAAAGAAUUUUACCAAAAAUACAAUGAAUUAAUCAUAUAUUUGAGAGUCACAGUGAUAGGUUCAACUAUAUUUUGACAGUUGUGUAGUGGCACUAUUGUUUCUGAGCAUGGUGCUUUUUAUACUUGAAAUAUAUUUUUGCUUUAUUUUUUAUUGAUAUAAUUAUAUUUGCACUAAUGGCUUUCUGAAGAAAAUAUUAUAGAUGACAUUUUUUGUAUAUAUAUUUAUUAAGCUUGGGAACCUGGUCGCCCAGUGUUUUCUCUGGACAAAUGUGAAACUGGAUAAAGUAUGGAUAAAGUCUUGAGUUCCUCAGGGUAA